UGAGGUGGGAGGAUCACCUGUGCCCAGGAG
rnacentral:piRNA from 1 species